CUAACAAUAAUUACUUGAUUAUCAUCUGACAUGGAGGAGUUGGUCUUGAACGCUCAAGUUCCUCUACACACUGAAUAGAUUUUUCUUCAAACCGAACAGGAUUCUUCUCCACCCAUUGCUCAAUUGUUUGAGUACUGUACUCAAAUAAAGCCCUUUUUUUUUCCCGAGUCAAAUACUUUGAAGUUCAACAGGUUCUGGUGAUCCAUUUUGCGGUUGCCUUUGAAAUCUUCCAGUUUUGUCUUCUCAUCAAAUGGAAUAACAAAAUGCCUAGAGUCUAGAUCCUUGAUAUUUGCAAUAUCAAAAUUUUCGCCAUCUCUCUUUUUGGUAAUUAUGCAAUUAUAUCCAUGUAUGUCCAUGGUCUCAAUCUCCCCUUUUGACACCCUUUUUGACAUUCUAAAAAAGAUAACAAUAACAUUCCAUAUGUAAGAAAUGUGCAAGAAAACAGGGGAAAAAAAAAAAAAAAAAAAAAAAAAAAAAAAAAGGAAAAUACCUCUAAAAUGGUUGUCAAUAUAAGAAGAUUAAACAACACAUACAAGAGAAAUGUAGAAGAAGACAGCAGGCAAAAACAAAAAUACCUCUCAAAUGGCGGUCCAAAACUAUCUAGUGAGUAGCCAUUGGGUUUGCUCCAGAGAGAGAACGAUGAAAAUUGUGAUAAAGUUGGAAUGGCCUUCUGAAACUAUCUUCUGAGUAGCAGUUCAAUUCCUAGGGUUUGCUACGGAUAGAGAAGAUCAAAAUGGUGAUAAAGUUAGGAUGCUUUUAUGAGUCUCACUCGUCUUAUUAUACCUACCCAAAUUUACAGACAACUAAGUAGGGCUGGCCCUGAGAUUCCAAAUAUUUUGAGAGGCCCUAGGCAAACUUUCAAAUGUGAGGCCCUUAAGUUUCACAUGUGCAAAAAAUAAUAAUAAGAGUGCAAAAUUUUAACACGGUGUUUUCAAAUUCUAUAGCUAAUAUAAUUGUGCGCCUGUGCAUUGUGCAUAAGACAACUAACUAAUAACUAUGAUAAUUAGGUAAUUAUUGUUUGCUAUUUAUUUAGCUUAUUAAAGGGGGUUAGUUGAUUUAAUCCUAAAGAUGAAUGAGGAAGGUUAUUACACCAGUGCAGAUUGGAGGGUUUUCAUUACAAAUGAUACCCCAAAAUUGCUCACUAUCAUUGACGUUAUUAAGCCCGACGAAGAUCGUACCACAAGGUGGGAUGAUGAUCUACUGAGGCUCCACGAUUGGAUCAAUGAAAAGCUCUUUCCCAACGAGAACCUGACACCUUUUGAUAUUAAGGAGUAUACUUUUUUUCUUGAGAAUGGACUAUAUGAAUAGUGGGGUGAAGCUUCUGCUUCAGUAUCAUUCUGCACUCAUGACUGGAAGACAAAGGGCAUACUUCUUGGUGAGCGUUAUAGACUCACUUGGGGCAGGCAGCGCCCAGCGCAUAGUGGAUGUACUCAGCAAAAAAUUAAUAGUACGACCGGGUGGAUCCGACCCAGGUACAAGUUGCACGAUAGGGUACCAACAGAUUCACUUCCAGGGAAUGUAUUAAAUAAAAAUCCCCAUGGGAUUGUAUACCAAGAGAGUUCUUGGGCUCAUUAUAGAUUCCUUAGAGAUUGCAUCAUGCAUAUGGUGAAAUUGGACAUGGACAUCGAUUUCAUAGACACACACAGCUUUUUGCUCUUUUUCUAGAAGCAGUCUCGGUUCUCCAAAGGUUCCUCUACAACUAUGGGAUUAUUGAAAAUUUUCUUAAAGGAAUUGUUUUGGGAGUGGGGCUUGAGUCCUUGGUGGCAGAAGAGCACGAAGAUGACCAAGCUGAUGUUUAAGAUUGAGUGCAGCGGUCUAAGGAGGUUGACGGUCCUGGAAAGUGCACACAUGUCAGAAUGGUUUUGAGCUUGAUGUUGAAUAACAUUCCGAGACUGUUUGGUAGAUAUGACAUUUAGUUAUCAUGUGGACCCUGUUUUAUGCAUCGUCUUUAACUAUGUAUGACAAUCUGCACCAGAUGUAGAGGAUGGCACGAAUCUUAUUACUUGUAUGGCAGGGGGUAAGAAAACCUACCUGAACUAUUCCAAAUGGGAGAGAGGAAACCAGUUAAGGGGUGGCACCAUGCCCUUGCUUUGAAUCAAGGGAUGAAUCGUUGGUCUUACUUGGCAUAGUACUCUCCCUAUAAAAGGAAUAUUGGGGCGAUUUAUAACAGUGGGAUACAAAUAUUUCGGAUUUAACAGGCUUAGAAGAUGUAAGGAGAAUUCGGUAUGUUUUUGUGAUAGAAUAUUUUGUCAAGACUUUGUGCUGUUUUGUUUUGAUUAGGAGUAUUUUGUUACUUUGUGGUGUGA